GGCGACCGGCGCACGGGUGAGUAACACGUAUCCAACCUGCCCUUUACUCGGGGAUAGCCUUUCGAAAGAAAGAUUAAUACCCGAUAGCAUAAUGAUUCCGCAUGGUUUCAUUAUUAAAGGAUUCCGGUAAAGGAUGGGGAUGCGUUCCAUUAGGUUGUUGGUGAGGUAACGGCUCACCAAGCCUUCGAUGGAUAGGGGUUCUGAGAGGAAGGUCCCCCACAUUGGAACUGAGACACGGUCCAAACUCCUACGGGAGGCAGCAGUGAGGAAUAUUGGUCAAUGGGCGCUAGCCUGAACCAGCCAAGUAGCGUGAAGGAUGAAGGCUCUAUGGGUCGUAAACUUCUUUUAUAUAAGAAUAAAGUGCAGUAUGUAUACUGUUUUGUAUGUAUUAUAUGAAUAAGGAUCGGCUAACUCCGUGCCAGCAGCCGCGGUAAUACGGAGGAUCCGAGCGUUAUCCGGAUUUAUUGGGUUUAAAGGGAGCGUAGGUGGACUGGUAAGUCAGUUGUGAAAGUUUGCGGCUCAACCGUAAAAUUGCAGUUGAUACUGUCAGUCUUGAGUACAGUAGAGGUGGGCGGAAUUCGUGGUGUAGCGGUGAAAUGCUUAGAUAUCACGAAGAACUCCGAUUGCGAAGGCAGCUCACUGGACUGCAACUGACACUGAUGCUCGAAAGUGUGGGUAUCAAACAGGAUUAGAUAC
rnacentral:rRNA from 1 species